UUCUUCCUGCCGUCUGCCAUCAUUUGUUUCUUAUGUUUUGCAGCCAAGACUGACCAUGAGAAACACUGGGAGCUCAUGAAGGAACCACCCAGAAGCAGGGACAGGGAGCUGGUGGGGAAGACCAGAAAUCAGGAAGCCAAAAAAAAUUGGAUAUCCCUGCUUUACAUCAAGA